rnacentral:rRNA from 1 species
GACGAACGCUGGCGGCGUGCUUAACACAUGCAAGUCGAACGGAAAGGCCCUGCUUUUGUGGGGUGCUCGAGUGGCGAACGGGUGAGUAACACGUGAGUAACCUGCCCUUGACUUUGGGAUAACUUCAGGAAACUGGGGCUAAUACCGGAUAGGAGCUCCUGCUGCAUGGUGGGGGUUGGAGAGUUUCGGCGGUUGGGGAUGGACUCGCGGCUUAUCAGCUUGUUGGUGGGGUAGUGGCUUACCAAGGCUUUGACGGGUAGCCGGCCUGAGAGGGUGACCGGCCACAUUGGGACUGAGAUACGGCCUAGACUCCUACGGGAGGCAGCAGUGGGGAAUAUUGCACAAUGGGCGGAAGCCUGAUGCAGCAACGCCGCGUGCGGGAUGACGGCCUUCGGGUUGUAAACCGCUUUCGCCUGUGACGAAGCGUGAGUGACGGUAAUGGGUAAAGAAGCACCGGCUAACUACGUG